UAAUACGGAGGGUGCGAGCGUUGUUCGGAAUUAUUGGGCGUAAAGCGCGUGUAGGCGGUUUGUUAAGUCUGAUGUGAAAGCCCCGGGCUCAACCCGGGAAGUGCAUUGGAAACUGGCCAACUUGAGUACGGGAGAGGGAAGUGGAAUUCCGAGUGUAGGAGUGAAAUCCGUAGAUAUUCGGAGGAACACCGGUGGCGAAGGCGGCUUCCUGGACCGAUACUGACGCUGAGACGCGAAAGCGUGGGGAGCAAACAGGAUUAGAUACCCUGGUAGUCCACGCCGUAAACGAUGGGUACUAGGUGUCGCGGGUAUUGACCCCUGCGGUGCCGAAGCUAACGCAUUAAGUACCCCGCCUGGGGAGUACGGCCGCAAGGCUA
rnacentral:rRNA from 1 species